rnacentral:lncRNA from 1 species
AAAAAAAAAAAAAAAAAAAAAAAAAAAAAAAAAAAGAGUCAUCGAAUGUGGGCUAGUACUUACUGCUUUAUUGCAAACCAAAGUGCCUAGCUAUGCUGAUAUAAAAUAUUUGCUUUCAUUUGGAUAUGAAACACUUUUCUUAUGUGUUAUCAUUAAAUAUAAUAACAUGUUUUCAGAAUCCAGUUUUGACAACAUUGAAGAAAGUAAGGUGAUUUGGAUAAUUCCAUGGGAAACUGAGCUUAUAAAAGUGGUAUUAGUUGUACUUUGUCAUCCAUUUGGAAUUUGUCCAACUACUAAAUAGGUUUCUUGAGAAGACACAUAAAAUAUUGAACACUGAAGAAAAUUUGAAGCGAACAUGUAUGAUCACCAGGGAAAUAGGACUAUAAUCAUGGUCCUUCCCAGGCAGAAAGAGAAACUACCAAGUUGAUACAUCUUGCUUUUGUGUGUGUGUGUGUGUGUGUGUGUGUGUGUGUCUGUGUCUGUGUCUGUGUCUGUGUUUGUAAGCUGGUAGUGAUUUCGAUUGGAAGGAAAAAGAUAAAAUUAUAAUAGUCUCAUAGAAACCAAGAAGAUGAGUCAUCAAAAGAAAAUGCUCUGUGAGUACAGCUUGAGACUACGACACAGAAAAUACAUUCCAUGGCCUUAGCUUGUUCUUUUCAAAACUGUUAAUGUUACUAAGACAGUUCAGUGUAGUUUGAGCUCACACUGACAAACAUGAGUAAUCUGGGUCUGUUAACUGAGGAAGACUAAUUUCCUGAAUAAAUCAGUAAUUUCCCUGUGAGUGAGUGUGCAUAUGUUUGCACACUCGCGUGCUUUUACACGUAUGUGAGUAAUGUGGCCUCCCCAUUGUGUACCUAUAGGACAAAGCUGAUUUUUCUCCUUGUUCAUUUUAGUUUUUGUCAGUUUUUCUGUUUCUGUGGUUCUCUGCUUUAUGCUACCAGGUGAUGUGAAGGCAGUAAAAUUUAAACAUGCCUUCAUUAUAUGUUAUAACGUGUUUACAGUCUCAGAUUUUAAUAAGUCAUCCAGAUGCACAUACCAUGGUAUGGUGAGACAACAGGCUUUCCUUCCAGGGCCUUAGUUGUACGCUAAUGCAAGUGCUGGGCUCGUAUCCAUUCAGGAGUUAACUGUAGCAUCACUGAACAUACAGCUGUAUAUCUGUAGUGUCAAGAGUUAGAUAUAAAAGCCAGAAGACUUUAGAGCUCCACUUUGUAGUAACUACAUCAUAAAAUGGCAUUAUGCCUAUAGCUUACUCUUUUUCUUUAUGAAGAGUUUAUAAUAAGUGUGCUUGGUUUGAUAUGAGACAUAAUUCUUUAAAUUUAUAGUGGAAUCUUUCCCUGGUCGUAAAUAACAGGAUCUGAAAUAAAAGGAGUGAAUAGAUAUGAGAACUUAUUGCUAGUAGAUGUUUCAUGUGAUUAAAAAAAAAAAAGAACAAGAAACUUUUUAUAGUGAAUGAGUUCACAUCAAAGAGAAAUUACAACUUGGUUUAAUGAUGGACUGGAAAGUAGUCUUUCAGCAAGUUUGUGGCUAAAGGCAUUUCUCACUAUCACAGACUUUUUCACACCAGAGCUUUACAAACUUUGGCUGUACCAGGACUAUUCGAAGGGUUGUUAAAAUGCAGAUUGCUUAGCUUUGGACCAGCUUCUCUGCUUCAAGUGAUUUCUGACAACCUGUAUAUAUGACCAGUUGUCCAGCGGGGUCAAACGGUCACUGUUGCAGAGCUUUCCGACACUCAGGAACCAACUUUUAGUUGGAGCUAAGAACUUACUCUUUGUUAGAAAUGGCAAAGACUAUUACAGGUUAAAUAAAUAAGUUCAUAAGCUCAAAAUAUUCAUUUGUAAUAAACUAACUUAGCUUUACCAGCAGAAUGGAUGGAUUAUAAAUGAAAUUGUUUACUACAAAAUCCUUCACACGAUAUUGAAAGACAGGAAACUUUAAGAGAAAAACAAAACAGGCAAUCCCUUCUGAAAUACAAUUGGCAGUCAGCCCAAUUUUAAAAGUAUAUAGUAUAUAGUAAC